rnacentral:rRNA from 1 species
CAGCAACGCCGCGUGGGGGAUGAAGCUUUUCGGAGUGUAAACCCCUUUCGACCCGGAAGAAAGCCCGCAAGGGUUUGACGGUACGGGUAUAAGAAGCCCCGGCUAACUACGUGC